UAAAUCUAUCAAGAAACAAGAUGAAAUCAAAUCAAAUUGUAAAAGAAGUUGGCUGAACGCAUCGAAGAAUAGGAAAAGAGAAAGGAAUAACAACAGAAAACGAGAAAAGCCAACAUUAAGAAAAAGAAAACUGAAAAGAAAGAACAUAAACCGAAUGAACACCGCACACUUAACAGAGAAAAAGCUGGAAUUGUCUGAUAAGACAACGAAAAUCAAACUUUAACGGAAGUUAGAGGGAAUGAAGAAGAAAUUAAAAAGGAAAAGUAAGAAGAAGAGGGUCCUGAAUUGCCAAACAUGCUCGAGCCACCAAGGCAGCAUCUGUGUCAUCAACCUCUGGUCUUUCAGAGUUUGUUAAAACAGAAAUUCCUGAAGCAAGACUAGCAAGUACACUGCCAACACCGAUUUUUAACAGUGGAGGCUGCCUAGUUUCCGGCAAAUUUGACUUUGGAGAACUAUCUAAUUCCUCACCCAUUCUGAAUAAGACCACUUUAGAUCCAGAAGUGGCAACGAUUAAAAUGAAAGAAAAUAAAACUUAAACCAAAAAUGAAAAUCUUGGUAGGCCAAGCUGAAGUUGAAAAUGCAAGAAGUAUUGAAGAGAAACAGGCACGAAAUGGUGCUCUGCAAAUAGCUGAAGGUUUUCAGGUAAAAGACUAUGUGGAAUUGCUUGCCAAACCAAUUAAUGAACGAGAUCAAAUCAAAUCAGAGAGUAACAAAAAUUGCGCUGAACGAAUCGAAGAAAAGGAAAAGAGAAAGGAAUAACAACAGAAAAGGAGAAAAGCCAACAUUAAGAAAAAGAAAACUGAAAAGAAAGAACAUAAAGUGAAUAAACUAAAGAAAAAAGGCAAAUUUAUCGCAUGAAAGACUGAUACUGACUGAUGGAUCAGCUAAACUUGUGUUCUUUCAUGUGCAGCCAUGUCGUGAUAGUUUUUUAGAAAAAUACACUGAUAUGCCUUCCAUGAUCGUGGAAAAUUUGAAGAA